rnacentral:ncRNA from 1 species
GAGUUUGAUCCUAGCUCAGGAUGAACACUGGUGGCAUGCUUAACACAUGCAAGUUAGACAGGAAGUGGUGUUUCUAGUGGAAGACAGGUGAGUAACACAUAAGAACCCACCCUUUGGAGGGGAACAACAGCUGGAAAUGAAUGCUAAUACCCCAUAGACCAAGGAGAAAAAGGAGGAAUCCACCCAAGUAAGGGUUCACGUCUGAUUAUUUAGUUGGUGAGGCAAUGGAUUACCAAGGAAAUGAUUAAUAGCUGGUUCAAGAGGAUGACCAGACUCACUGGGACUGAGACACAACCCAUAAUCCUACAAGAGGAAGCAGCGGGGAAUUUUCUGCAAUGGGUGAAAUCAUGACGAAGCAAUGCCAUGUGAAGGAAGAAGGCCCCUUGGCGAUGAACUUAUUUUCUCAGAGAAGAAGAAAUGACGAUAUUUAGGGAAUAAGCAUUGUCUAACUCUGUGCCAACAACCACGAUAAGACCCAUUUUAUUAUAU